AUGGCGGAGGCGUGGGCGGACGUGCUGCCGCCGCCGGCGCCCUACUUCGCCGGGCAGCCGUGCUGGGCCGUGCAGCCGGAGCGUCGCGGAGGGGGCGCGUGGACGCUGGAGGAGAACAAGGUGUUCGAGGAGGCGCUCGCGGCGAUCGACCUGGACGCGCCGGACCGGUGGGAGAUGGUCGCGCUGAUGCUGCCCCGGAAGACGGUCGCCGACGUGGUGAACCACUACCGGGCCCUCGAGAACGACGUGGGGUUCAUCGAGGCCGGGCUGGUCCCGUUCCCUCACUACGACAGCUCGUCCCCUUCGUCCGGGUUCACCCUGGACUGGGACGGCGGCGCCGCCGGCGCCGGCGGGUUCAGGCGCGGCUACUGCCUCAAGCGCGGGCGCGCCGACCAGGAGCGGAAGAAGGGCGUCCCGUGGACGGAGGAGGAGCACCGGCUGUUCUUGAAGGGGCUGAAGAAGUACGGGCGAGGGGACUGGAGGAACAUCUCCCGCAACUACGUGACGAGCCGCACGCCGACGCAGGUGGCCAGCCACGCGCAGAAGUACUUCAUCCGGCUCACCUCCGGCGGCAAGGACAACAAGCGCCGCUCCAGCAUCCACGACAUCACCACCGUCAACGUGCCCGACGACGACGACCGCGGCAGCCCCUCGGGGUCCCCGCCGUCCGCGCUCACCACCGUCGACACGAAGCCCUCGCCGCCGUACGGCGGGCAACGGCACGCCUUCGUGCCGUCGACGCUGCAGCCGGGGACGCUCGGCGGCGGCCACCCCUACGGCAGCGUGAAGCUCGAGCACCAGGGCUCGUUCAUGGACGGCAUGGUCGUCGACCUCGACGAGUCGCUCCUCCUGCAGAUGCAAUGCGGCCAGCUGUGA
rnacentral:rRNA from 1 species